rnacentral:pre_miRNA from 1 species
AUAUUUUCACAUGAAAAUUGUCGCUAUAGAUCCUAUAGCGAUGGUUAUAGCGACAGUUUUAACGGUCGCUAUACAUCUAUAGCGACACUUUUCAUGUGUAAAUAU